AAUGGGGCAGGUAACUAGAAUCAGGAAUUGGGAAACUUGAGUUAAAUUUGUAUUUCUCCUUCUACAUCAGCUUGAUCUCUUCGCUACUUUGAUAUGACAACAGGUGACCCCAUGUGCGUAUCUAUAACCAGGCAUUUGGGCAUGAUAUAGGGAAAAUUCUUUUGAUUACACCACCAUGCCACAGGCUGGGUAUCAUAAAUAACACCACCUUGUACUUAGAGAAUGAUUUGGGCGGACGAUCUCUGUGAAUUUUGGAGAUAAUCACAUGAGCGCAAAAAUUAAUUGUACCAAGGAAGACAUCAAAAAAAGACCACAGGUUCAACUGCUCAGUUUAACAUUUAUUGAGCACCUAUUAGGAGCCAAGUGAUGGGCAUACAAACAGAUGCUGCAGAGAUAUGCCUUGAACAUCUGUUCCUAACGCAGUUCCCUGAAAAACACUGACGUGUAACUGGAGUUUAAAAGCACAGAAGGAAAUAGAAGGAUGCUUACCUAACGCAUCAAAACUGCAUCACUAAGACGAACUGAAAAAAAAUUCCAAUCUUUUAACAACCACAGUGAAGGUUUUUCCUAGGCUUUCAACAUGUUUGCAUGUCUAUUUUAUUCUUUAUGCAUAAAAACUACUGACUGCUAGAUUUUCCCUUUUUUAAAAAAAAAAAAUAACUUGUCAAUGAAUUGGGUGUGAGAAAUCACACAACCAACUAGCUGGCCACGAAUGCUUCCCCAACACGUGACUGCGGCCACUGGUAGGGCAUGGGCAUCCCUGUUCUGGGUGACAUCUUCCUCCCACUGGAAGAGGGUGUCACAGCUAGAAGGUGAGCUCACCUUGCAACAAAGAGGUGGACAGUUUCUUCCAGAACGUAACAGAGGCCUGGAGGAAGGCGCACUUGGAGAGAAAAAUGGGAAGUGAACGCCAGAGCUUUACAAAGAGCCCCCAAAGUAGGCCCUUGUAAAAGCGAAUAAUGAGCUGCAUAGACUAGUUCCUUCAUGCUGAGCUCAGCACACAUCU